GUGGAAGCGUGGUGACACGUGAAGCUGACGGAUACUAAUCGAUCGAGGACUUAACUAA
rnacentral:rRNA from 1 species